CAGCAGCCGCGGGAAUACGUAGGGUGCAAGCGUUAAUCGGAAUUACUGGGCGUAAAGCGUGCGCAGGCGGUUUGUUAAGACAGAUGUGAAAUCCCCGGGCUCAACCUGGGAACUGCAUUUGUGACUGGCAAGCUAGAGUAUGGCAGAGGGGGGUGGAAUUCCGCGUGUAGCAGUGAAAUGCGUAGAUAUGCGGAGGAACACCGAUGGCGAAGGCAGCCCCCUGGGCCAAUACUGACGCUCAUGCACGAAAGCGUGGGGAGCAAACAGGAUUAGAUACCCCAGUAGUCCCUGUCUCUUAUAA
rnacentral:rRNA from 1 species